ACCUAGUAAUGAGAUCAGCUCAUAGUUACUUUAAACACAGUGUGUGUGUGUGAAUUCACACCCAGUGGAAGGUGUUGUUGGCCCAUGAGGAGGAACUAAUGGACCAGUUCGGACCUGGACCUCUAACCAGUGUAGAGUAGAAGCUUCACUGAUCAUCAGCAGCAUCUUCACUGGAGGAGUUUAGUUCUCUCUAUAACAGUUUGUCACAGAUAGAACAUUAGUGGGCGACUGGUGUGAAAGUAAAGGAACAAUGAGUGUGUGUGUGUGUGUCUUAAAGGUCCCACAUCACAUCAUCACACAGAGGCUCUGCAAUCAGCCAAUCAUCUGCUUAUGUUGACAGACAGGCGUCCAUCGUCAUAGCAACAAAGGACACAAACAGAAAGUCUGUGUCCGAUGGUUGACGUGAGCAUCCUUCCCGUAGUCCACUGGGUACAUGCAGUCCACGAUCUCCUGGAUCUGAGACAGCUCCAGGUUCUUCAUGAAGUCGUUAUCCAGGAUGGCCUCCUUUAUCAGCUCCUUGGACCUGAGGAGAACCAGGAACCAUUAGAACCACCAGUCUGUAGAUUCUGAGCUGCUUAAAUCCUGGAGAAAAGGAAGAAGCUGCUGCUGAUGAUGAUGAUGAUGAGGAGGAGGAGACGGAGGAGAGCCAGAGCUCCUCCGUCUGCAGCCUGAGUCGAUGUGAGCAGCAAAAAGUGUGAGAAACAAAGUUCUGAGGAGGAGGAGGAGGAAGACGGGAAGCUACGACGACACACGAGCAGCAGCGGAAAGAGACGAGUCAUCUUUAUCACCUCCUUCUCUGGCGCUCGUCAGUUUGAGCGCACCAGCAUCUCAUCUUCAGGCUCCUCAUCAUCAGUCACCAGCUACACACACACACACACGUCCUCUGUGAGCAUCCUCUCCAUCUUCAACGUCAUCAUAUUUACUUUCAUCUUCAUCAUACACUUAAUCAUCUUCAUCAUCAUCUUCAUCAAAGUCAGAUAACUUCAUUCAUCC
rnacentral:lncRNA from 1 species